ensembl:ncRNA F39B2.13 ncRNA
UUUCCUUCAAAACGAGAACGGCACGACCAAUCAGCGAUCAGUUCCGCCCACUUUUCCACCAAUCAGAUUAAAAAUGGGCGGAGCUAAUCGCUGAUUGGUCACAGUUCUCAUUUCGGAGGAAAUUCAAAUUUUUGCCAAAAUUUC